ensembl:lncRNA TNPO1-DT TNPO1 divergent transcript
ACUCUAGGGAAAGUUAGCUGCCAUGUUGGCAGCAGCUCUGUGGAAAGGCCCAUGUGGCAAGGAAUUGAGAAAUCUUGCCAACAGCCCAUGAGAAACUGAGGCCUCAAGUCCACAGCCAGAAUCUUAAAUGCUUGUGUGCAGCCACCAUCCUGACAAAUGAUUCAACAAAUGAUUCAAAGAGAAAAACCAGAAUACAAUUAUUUUGAUAGACACGUAAAACUGAAAAUCAAAUAUCCACAGAUGAAACUUCACCUUCAAGGAAAAUCGCCAACAGUGAUGUUUCUGGAUGAGAUUAGCAUUCAAAUUCGUGGACUCAUUAAAGUAGAUGGCUCUCUCCAAUAUGGGUGGGCAUCAUCCAAUCUGUUGAAGGCGUGAAGAGAACAAGAGAAGGAGGAAGGAAGAAUUCACCUUUUUUCUUGCUGCCCACCUGCUUGGGCUGGGACAUUGCAUCUCACCUUCUCCAGCCUUUGGAUGAGGAUUUACACCCUGGUUCUCAGGCCUUCAGGCUCUAACUGGAGCUACACUAUCAACUUUCCUGGGCCUCCAGAUUGCAGAUGGUGGAUCACGGUACUUUUUAGCCUCCAUCAUAAUAUGAGAAAAAAGAGGCACAGUGAAGCUAAAUAUAUUGGCUAAAGAUCACAAAGCUAGUAAGUAGAACAAGCUACUUACCUACUUGAACAAGAAACUUCCUCUUUUCAAACCUCUGUUCUGUUCUUUUUUUUUGUUUUUUUUGAAACUACGACAGUCAUUUAUUCUCUCUAACAGUUACUAUUGGUGAGGAAUUUUGGAGUAAUUUGAUUGGGUGUUCUGGCUCAAGGGUCUCUUAUGAGUUUGCAGUCAGAUGUCAGCUGUGGCUACAUCAUCUGGACACAUGACUGAGGGUGGAACAUUCAAUUUCAAGGUAUCUCACUCAUAUGGCUGGUAAGUUGGUUCUGGCUGUUGGCUAAGAGUCUCAAUUUCUGGCCACAUGGGCCACUCCAUGAGGCUGCUUGAGUGUCCUCUCAACAUGGUGUCUGGAUCUUUGGAUUACAAAAGACUAAUGUGGAAUCUGCAAUGCCAUUUAUAAUUUAUCCUUGAAAGUUCACACACUUCUGCUGUACAAACUUCUGUUCUUACCCGUGACUCUUUUGUCAAGCUGUGUCUUGAUAAAUUGUAACACUUUUGAGUCUUUGAAGAAA